rnacentral:rRNA from 1 species
CAACUUUCAACAACGGAUCUCUUGGCUCUCGCAUCGAUGAAGAACGCAGCGAAAUGCGAUAAGUAAUGUGAAUUGCAGAAUUCAGUGAAUCAUCGAAUCUUUGAACGCACCUUGCACUCCUUGGUUAUUCCGAGGAGUAUGCCUGUUUGAGUGUCAUUA